GGAAUAUUGCGCAAUGGGCGAAAGCCUGACGCAGCGACGCCGCGUGGGUGAUGAAGGCCUUCGGGUCGUAAAGCCCUGUCGGGAGGGACGAAACCUUAUCGACCUAAUCCGUCGCUGACUUGACGGUACCUCCUCAGGAAGCACCGGCUCACUCCGCGCCAGCAGCCGCGGUAAGACGGAGGGUGCAAGCGUUGUUCGGAAUCACUGGGCGUAAAGCGCGUGUAGGCGGUCUCUUAAGUCCGGUGUGAAAGCCCGGGGCUCACCCCCGGAAGUGCACCGGAUACUGGGAGGCUGGAGUACCGGAGAGGAGGGUGGAAUUCCUGGUGUAGCGGUGAAAUGCGUAGAUAUCAGGAGGAACACCGGUGGCGAAGGCGGCCCUCUGGACGGAUACUGACGCUGAGACGCGAAAGCUAGGGGAGCGAAC
rnacentral:rRNA from 1 species